rnacentral:lncRNA from 1 species
AACAAUCCUGCGUGUUCAUCUAGUAAGUGCCCUGCUCCUUAUCCCUCAUUGCUGCAAUGCAUGCCCUCCGUAUUGGUUCUAAGCUGUUUUUUUCUUCACCCACCGAUAGAUAUACAUAGAGAUUAGAUCACGAUUCUAGUUUAAUCUGAAAUUGAUUCAUUGUUCAGUUUACUCAUUGCAAAAGUUUUCACUGUCAGUCGACUGAAAACUUUUUCAAUCAGAUUUUCCGGCCAAUUGGUGCCUGACAAUUUGAUCCUGUUUGUACUUGUCAUCAGUAUGUCGAUGUCAAUUUUAUCUACCGGCCCCGCUAGUGUUUCCCCAUUGAGUUGCUUCAGUCUAAUGACAAAAAAAACCCGAAGAAACAUGAAACAUUUAUCAGAUUAUAUCAAUGCUAUUGUAAAAUUGAGACCACCACCAAUUACUCUGGCCAAAUAACAAUGAAUCGUUGUAAAAGCACACCGUAAAAAUGAAUCAAAAUUUCACUAUUAUUAGUACUUUAGUAUCAGACUAGGAGCAGCAAAACACACUUGGAUGCUCUGGUUCAAAUUUACUAUAACUACACAGUAGAAUUACAGUCCUUGCUACACUGUAAAUCAUACAAUAGAUACACUGUGGACAAAACAUCAUUAGUUUAAGGAGCAACAGAACAACUAUGAGCCUAAUGGUUCAAAAUGUAUUACACUUUGCAGAACAAUUACAUUACUUAAAACUUUGUGGUAGAAUACACUGCACACAUUCCAAAUAAAGUAGUUUAGUACCUGCUGGGAGCAACAGACAAAAUUCAGCAAAAGACACUAGGAAAAAGAAACCAUUUAGGACUAAAGUUGAGAAUUACUAUAGCUUUGCAGUAGAGUUGCAUUUCUUGUGACACUGUGAAUAUAAACAAAAUGCACCAUAAGAAUAACAGAAAUUACUAAAUCGUUGCUUGGGAAUUAUAGUUUUUUAGAUUGUGUUAUAUAUAUUUUAGUUUUUGAAACAACCUAUAUUGUACGUUACAUAAUUUAUUUAAACUUUUAGUCAUUGUCAUGUUGCAAAAGAUGUGUAUCCAACAAGAAUUAACGUUGUUGAAUCUAAUGAGGAUUAUAUGACAGAAGAACCAAUCGAACAUCGUAAUUCUGUUGAAAAAGAUGUCGAAUCAUCUGAUGUCUAAGAAAUAACUACUAAUGAUAAAGAAGGUUUCACAUAUUGUGAUGAUGCUGAUGUAGAUGAAAAUGAAGAUGGUAAGUUUGCUCAUUCCUUAUUGAUUGCAAUAUAUGGUUAUUCAUCAUAGUAACAUAUAAUUCAUGGUUCAUAAUGGUGGCAGUGCACGGCAAUUUGAAAAAGGUUCUGCUGCACACAAGGUAUCUCCAUAGUCUGAUAUACGAAAUUACGAUCAAACUAUAGUGCUCCCAUGUUUAUGUGUUUACUUGUUGCUUUGUGAAUGUUGUCCAGAACCAAGAAACUUUUGAUCAGAAUUUCAGUACACAGCAAGGGAAAAUAAAUGCUGCCGCACACAAGGUAUAUUUCCAUUACCAUAUACAAUAUGUUCAAAAUAUAUCGCUUCGAUGUUUAUGUAUCUACUGGUUGUGUUGCUAUUAGAACGUUGUUCAGAACAAAGAUACUUUGCUUGAGAAUGUCAGUGUACGUGUGCGAGAAAAAACUUCUGCUGCAAACAAGCUAGUAUCUUUUCGUAAUCAGAUACAUAUUUUGCUCAAACUAUAGUGCUAGCUUGUUUAUUCGUUUAUUACCUCUACUUUGCUAUAAGAGUGUUGUCCAGACCAAAAAAACAAAAAAGCUGCUAAUGCAGCCAGUAAGAGAGCUCAAAGUGGUUCGCUAAGUUGGUUGGGUGCCAGUGAACUACUUGUAAGACUGCUCAAAUUCAUUUCAUACGUACCCCUAUUUUGUCUGUCUUGUCAUGGGUGAUGAGGAUAAUUCUGCCAAUGGUAACUUUGGUUUUCUCUAACUUGCAGGAACUAAAGUAUUCUUGAAGAGCCUGAAAAAUCAUAACUAGCACAUAGCUCUUGGUACAAGUGAUCCUAAAUUUAAACUUGAUGGUGCUGAAAUUAGAAAUGGAUUCCGGGCUGUGCGUGUCGAUAUGGCACUUGUGAAAACUAAAAAUUUGGUACGGAGUUGAAAAAACUGCAAUACUCUCGGUAAUGCAUAAAAAAAACUAAUAUCUUGCCUCUAUUACUACUUGCAUCAUGGCAAUCUUUGUGUAUUAACAACUCAUUUUGUUAUCUUGUUUGUAGAUUCAAAAGAAAAUGGAUGACUCUAUGGUGUGUGGAAAGUAUACUGCAAUGAUGAUGUUGAUGUUUCGGUUCAUGAUGAUGAUGAUGAUGAUGAUGAUGAUGGAUGCUUUCAGUUUUAGUUAAGUUGUAGGGAUGGCGUAUAUUGGAUAUUGUUCCUCCUUGAUUUUUAGUUAUGUUGUAGGGAAGUUGAUGGAUGCUUUCAAUGUAAGUUUUGUUGUCAAGAAAAUAGUCAGAUUAUGCAUCACACUUGGAUGAUGUUCCUCCUGUAAUAUACACUAUUGUAAUCCAACAGUUCUAUCUAAUACACGAUUUCUUCCUCUCUGAGUAUAUUAUCUUGUUUUCCUUCAUU